rnacentral:rRNA from 1 species
UACGUAGGGGGCAAGCGUUGUCCGGAAUCAUUGGGCGUAAAGAGCGCGUAGGCGGCCCGAUAAGUCCGCUGUGAAAGUCAAGGGCUUAACCCUUGAAUGCCGGUGGAAACUGUCGGGCUAGAGUCCGGAAGAGGCGAGUGGAAUUCCUGGUGUAGCGGUGAAAUGCGCAGAUAUCAGGAAGAACACCAAUGGCGAAAGCAGCUCUCUGGGACGGUACUGACGCUGAGACGCGAAAGCGUGGGGAGCGAACAGG